rnacentral:rRNA from 1 species
CAUGACUGCACCGAAGCACUUGCUGGGCGGAUUAGUGGCGAACGGGUGAGUAAUACGUGAGUAACCUGCCCUUGACUCUGGGAUAAGCCUGGGAAACUGGGUCUAAUACUGGAUACUACCUCCUGCCGCAUGGUGGGUGGUGGAAAGGGUUUUACUGGUUUUGGAUGGGCUCACGGCCUAUCAGCUUGUUGGUGGGGUAAUGGCUCACCAAGGCGACGACGGGUAGCCGGCCUGAGAGGGUGACCGGCCACACUGGGACUGAGACACGGCCCAGACUCCUACGGGAGGCAGCAGUGGGGAAUAUUGCACAAUGGGCGGAAGCCUGAUGCAGCGACGCCGCGUGAGGGAUGACGGCCUUCGGGUUGUAAACCUCUUUCAGUAGGGAAGAAGCGAAAGUGACGGUACCUGCAGAAGAAGCGCCGGCUAACUACGUGCCAGCAGCCGCGGUAAUACGUAGGGCGCAAGCGUUGUCCGGAAUUAUUGGGCGUAAAGAGCUCGUAGGCGGUUUGUCGCGUCUGCUGUGAAAGCCCGGGGCUCAACCCCGGGUCUGCAGUGGGUACGGGCAGACUAGAGUGCAGUAGGGGAGACUGGAAUUCCUGGUGUAGCGGUGAAAUGCGCAGAUAUCAGGAGGGAA